rnacentral:rRNA from 1 species
UACGUAGGGUGCGAGCGUUGUCCGGAAUUAUUGGGCGUAAAGGGCUCGUAGGCGGUCUGUCACGUCGGGAGUGAAAACUCGGGGCUCAACCCCGAGCCUGCUUCCGAUACGGGCAGACUAGAGGUAUGCAGGGGAGAAUGGAAUUCCUGGUGUAGCGGUGAAAUGCGCAGAUAUCAGGAGGAACACCGGUGGCGAAGGCGGUUCUCUGGGCCAUUACUGACGCUGAGGAGCGAAAGCGUGGGGAGCGAACAGG